UCGAUGAGAAGAUGAGUGGAACAAAGAACAAGGUAGUUAUGUAGUAGAUCACGAACUACUUAAGAAGCAAAAUUGUUGAGUUCUUGUAAUGUUUUUGCCUUGUAGAAUAUGGAAUGAAGUCACAUGUAUUGGAAAGCAAUUAAAUUCAUGUCAUAUGUUUGUGUAGGGAGCACAAUCUUAGGAAGGUGCUUCUGCGAAAUUAAUAACUUGAAUUGUGUAAGCUCUUCUUCUCAAGCACCAAAUAUUGUCACUCGUGCUUGAUACAAAGCCUAAAAGAUAUUAAAAAAAGAAAGGAGAAGACACUCGGACAUUGUGGAGUGACAAGUGACAACAGACUACAUAAGCAGCAGAAAUCUCAAUGAUAAACAGUAAGUUCUGUCCCUAAAAGACCCUCUUCAUCUUUACCUAGCUAGAGCCUUAUUGGUGCUUACUUAGACUUGAUCAUCUUGU